UGAACUCCCAGAGAAGACAUGCGCCUGUGGUAAGAGCUGUGUGUCUGUCACCCUGUGCCUUCUCUUCAAACCCUUUAAAAAAAUAAGAAGAUAUAUUCUGCUCCAGGACACCUACAAGCAUCCUGAGAAGAGUUCCUGAGGGGAGGAAGGGGAAGCAGAGGCUGACUUUGUGCUCUAUAGACAGCAUGACCCAAGCUCUGUGGGACACUAGGGAGGACCAGGUGAGGUGCUCACCCACCAGAAACUAUCAGCAGAAGCUCCUACAUUCUUCAUGGGCACCAGCAGCACCAGUCCUGCUUCCUACAAGAGCAGAUAUCAUUAACAAGCUAGGGAAGCUGAGCUCACGUAAGGAGAUAAUGACUGAGCAGGGACACAGGGAGCACAGCGAGCCAGGCCCUCAUCAUUGAACACAUUCAAACUGUGAGUGGUUUUCCACAGCAGAAAAGGAGCAGGGAGGGUGAGGGCUCACCCUGCGCUGGAGACGUCUGCACUGUGGUGACCACUGCUAUCUCUCGGCCUCCAUCACUGGGACAGGCACCUGCCGGCUUGAAGCACCUGUCAUUCUUCACAGUGGGACUCUCCCUUUUUUAAUGACUAUGUUAAUGACCCUAAUCUGCUAGUGUGGAUGUGGUUAAUGCCACAGACAGGAGAGUUCACAAACUGUUCCUGUUCCGCCUCCUCAUGUGUCACUUUGCAUCCUAACCUAACUGUCCCCUGCCCAGCACUGUGACCAUCUGGUUCCACUGUGCAAAGGACAGGCAGCAGGCUCCAGCCCUUUUGGCACCGCAAUAUCCAAGGCACGGUAGUAACAAGUCAGGCCGGGACCCAUCAGCCCUUAGGGGGGUGACACAGGAGGUGCCAUCCUGAAACGAGACACACACUUGGGGUGAAACCUCUGCUGCGUGUGUGGGGCCCCACGGCAGCCUAGCGGGAGUUAUUUUUCCAGGAGCAGACUGUUGACUUUUGGAAGCCAAAGGGAUCCCAGCAUCAGAGCAGGAGGAGGGUUGCGUUUCAUAGAUAAGUCACGGUGUAUUAAAUGUAAAUGAAUCUGCAGCUUGAUGGACAAAUCAGAUCAGGGUGGGAAACCCAGCUCGCGGCGGGGGAUGGAUUUGUAAUGGGUAGUGAUGCACUCAUGCACCAAUGGGAAUGAAUGGCCAGAGAGGGAGGCAGCAAGGGCUGCGCUGCCUGCAGCACUGCAAGAAAGAGACGUCGUGGGCUCUGAGAAGGGAGGUCAGGCUGGAUAAACAGUGGCCCUGUCCACAUCAGAGAAUCACUGAGGCAUGAAGAAAAACUUUAACAGCUGCAAUGCUGCUUUUGAACCUCCUAGUAAAAGGGGGGUCAGGAGGUCAAAACUUUCAAUGCCUCUGGGAAGGAGGGAACUUUUCCCGGCAAGGCUUUGAAAGCCCCUUGCUAAAUUAGCAUGACCACACUGCUAAAUGCUUGGGAAACCCGGACUGCUCGGGUCGCAGGCUCCCCCAGAAGUGGGGAGGCAAAGAGCUGCUGCAUUCCCAUGCUCAACAACAUAAUUAAUGGGGCAAUUUCCUAGGCGAAAGCAGAUAUUGAGAAUCCUAUCCAGCACCUGGAUGGGAAAUGAAAGCCCAUUGGAUGUGCUCUGUGCAUCGUUUCUCCUCCACCUUACCUCCUGACACCACUGCCCUUUCUCCUUUCUGUUUCUAUCUCCUGUUUACUGUCUCUUCCUUUCUACUCACCAUCUUCUUGGCCUUCUCCUCCUCUUUUGUUCCCGGUGUCAUGCAACUCAGCUCACUGUUGCAGCAACGAGCUCUGAUAUGUGGGGACACGGGUAGGAGAUGAUGGCACAAGCCAGAGUACUGCUCACCCUCAGCUGUACCUAGGGACUGUACCCCACAGCUGGAUGGCAAAUCAGGAGCUGCUGUCUACCAGCCUCACUUCUUUCUAUUUUUGUUGCUUUUGUGAGACCACUGUUCCACAUUCUGAGCUAUUUGCUUCCACUUUGAAUGUAGGUUUUACUAGUAAAUUUUCCAAGAGCUAGACGGCAAACAACGCAUGUUUCUCCUGGAUGGCACUAGGAGGGACCCUGAGAUUUCUGGCUGUUAUCCCACCUCCAGCUUUUUCUCAGCACUGCCUCUGCACUCAGCUCCCAUUCACCUGUGCUGUGGGUUUCCUGGGCACCAAUUUUUCCAAAAUCAUUUGCAGAUCAUUCCCUUCACUGCUCCCACUGCUGCAGGUGUGGAAAGCAGAUAGUCACACACAGACACAGCAGCUGCUGUUAUUGCUUUUGGAAACGUGCUGUAUGUCUACAAGGUGCAAUCCAAACAUGUUAGAAAAACAGUGUAGCCCUUCAGCCAUAAAUGUCGCUGUCUGGAGCUGCAAUCCUGCAGGCUGCUGUUGGGCAUCCUUAUUCCUAUUGCAAUUGCAGAAGGCAGGAGCUCAGCAGCUUUUCCAGGAUGGCUGCAAAAGCAGAAUGAGUACUCCAUUGAAUGAAGCAGGCUGGGAGAUGUAUCACGUUGCAAAUGGCUUGCUCUUAAAGGAGAAUGGCCAGCUUUCUGGAGGGAGCCUGGAGCUGUCCUGGCAGUCCUGACCCAAGCCAAGCAGGGCUGAGGUGGGAAGAGCAGGAUGUGGUUCGUGAUGCACUGCAAAGCUCUGCAGUUCCAAGCCCCUUUUCAGCUCCGCUGUGAUGCUGCGGUAUCUUUAUUUUUCAUUCCUCUUGUUGUCCUAGAAACAGAGCAAAUAAUUCUUCCAGGCAGGCCCUUUUGUUACACUCAAGGCAGCAUCUUGUCUCUCAGAAAAAAAAAAAAAAAAAAAUGCACCAUUACAUAAUAAAAUCCUUGGGAGAAAAAUAACAGCGGGUUCAAAGCCUUCUAAAGAAACCUGAAAAAACUUCAUCACACUCCAAACUUUCCUGAUAUCCUAGGAGUGCUCCAUCUCUGAAAGGACCAGUGGGCAAUUCACAGGAUGAGCAACAUGAGGGAAAAUGGGAAGUGGCUGGGGGGAUUUGUGUUCAGUCCUGGCCCUGCAAAUCCCACUACUCAUUCAUCCUUCUCUCCCUAAAGCAGGAAGCAGAAAAGCAGCGUUCUUUCUUUUGCACUGAGACAUCACUGCAUUUUCGGUCAGUUCUCGUGAGCUUCGAGCCUUUCAGGCUGGUAAAAAUGCCACAAACAUCUGCAAAGGUUUCCGUAGGAGGGCACAGCCUGCCCCAAAGCACAAUCAACCCCAGAGCACAAGGUACCCUAGCUGCAUUUCCCACACAUGCCCUGCCUGCCUGUAGGAUGGCCUGUCACACAAUUACAGGCCAUGGUUUAUUUAUGGCCACAUCCACGGUCACUGUCCUCCCUUCAGCUUUAAGUUACAGCUUUCAAGUUGAGGGGGCUCUGCUGAAAGAACAAGUUAGUGUGCCACAUGGUAUUGGCCCUUUGCAGGAAAAACUGUUCCCUUACAGAAAAGCCAGAGCUCCCCUGGAAUUGCUGGGAUUUCGAGGGAGGUGUAUUUACCUGAGAAAGAAGGCCUUUUGCUGGGGAAAUGUGCCCUUCUGCAGGCUGAGCCAGAUACAUCUGUAUUUAUGUGAUUGGUUUUGUUGUACUGAACAUAUUCUGUUCAUUAGGAAACCUUCGUGCAAGGAGACUUCUGGCUGCACUCCUGAGCACAUCAGCCCAACAGCAUCAUUUUCUUUGGGGAAACUCGGAUAGAGUUACCACCUCUUCUGCAACAGGAAAGCUGUCAGAGAGACCAAGGGACUGCUCGAUUACAAUGCAGCUGCUCAAGAUGCUGAGAUAGCUCUGCAGUUCUCCUGAAGGCAUCAUGGCUGCUCAGCGUACAAUGAGCACACAACUUUCCGAAACCUUAAAGUGCAUCUUUUCUACACAUCCUGCUGCAUGUCUCAGCAGCAAUUCACGAGGCAGUGGCUUCUGGUGCCAUAAAGACCCAUGAGAUUUUGGCUUCCAGCGGGGCUAAGUAGCUUGGAGAGGCCAUUUUCUCAGAUGUGCAGUGAGAUCUCACUGCUGGUGUCUAAUCAUGUCUGCUCACAGCAAUGGCUUCAGGAAUAAAUGGGGAUGGGGUCACUGUCAGGGGUUCCAGGGUCUCUCUAGUCCAUGAGGAGCUGGAAGAGCUCAGCAGCAUGGGACUGAGGCCUGGAUGCUUUUAUCUAUGCCCUCUGGAUGCCUUGAGGGGCAGAGAGGAAACACGGAUGGGGGACUGCGGUGUCAUUUCAACUUGGAAGUGCAGUAUGAGAGGUUUGUUUGUUUUUCCCAGCCAUAGCUUUGCCUUUCCAGAGAUUUUCAAUCUCUUUACCAGGUGCUGAAGGUAAAAAGAUUUAAAACUCUGAAUCUUUUUAUUACAAGACAGGGAAAGGCAAUCGUCCUAAUUCAUGGCAAAUGAACCUCUUCUCAGCUUGUGUCUGAUAAGGAUCUGGAAAGAGUAUCCAAGCUAAAAAAUAAGAUAUAUAUCUCCCGAGUACAGCUUUUGCUGUUUUCCUAUAUGAAUCCUUGUUUCUUCUGCACUGCGAGCUCUCCAGGGCAUGGCCGGUGUUACAGAGUGCCAGCUGCAUUAUCUGAUGGUAGGAGAUAAUUCUUAUGAGGAAUAUGUCAGAACAACAGAAAACUUCAUUUAAAAGAAAAAAAAAAAAACAAUUAAAGCUGCCGAGUGACAACCGCAUACUUAUGUAUUGCAUCACAUACUAGUCCUAGCAGCUUGAGUGCAGAGAGCUGAGCAGUGCAGGAUGUCCUAAGCCUGGUCAGACCCACAUGAGAUGUGGGUUAUUCCAGCAAGUGUAGGGCAGCACUCAUCGCACCACAGCAGCAGGAUGGGAGGUAAUGGCCGUAAGUUGCACCAGGGGAGGUUCAGGUUGGAUAUGUGGAAAAAUUUCUUCUCUGAAAUAGUGGCAAGGCACUGGCACAGGCUGCCCAGGGAGGU